UACGUAGGGACCAAGCGUUGUUCGGAUUUACUGGGCGUAAAGGGCGCGUAGGCGGCAAUUCAAGUCAGCUGUGAAAUCUCCGGGCUUAACUCGGAACGGUCAGCUGAUACUGCUUUGCUAGAGUGCAGAAGGGGCAAUCGGAAUUCUUGGUGUAGCGGUGAAAUGCGUAGAUAUCAAGAGGAACACCUGAGGCGAAGGCGGGUUGCUGGGCCGACACUGACGCUGAGGCGCGAAAGCUAGGGGAGCAAACAGG
rnacentral:rRNA from 1 species